UACGAAGGGGGCUAGCGUUGCUCGGAAUUACUGGGCGUAAAGCGCACGUAGGCGGCUUUCUAAGUCGGGGGUGAAAUCCUGGAGCUCAACUCCAGAACUGCCUUCGAUACUGGAGAGCUCGAGUCCGGGAGAGGUGAGUGGAACUGCGAGUGUAGAGGUGAAAUUCGUAGAUAUUCGCAAGAACACCAGUGGCGAAGGCGGCUCACUGGCCCGGUACUGACGCUGAGGUGCGAAAGCGUGGGAGCAAACAGG
rnacentral:rRNA from 1 species